rnacentral:rRNA from 1 species
GACCCGUCUUGAAGCACGGACCAAGGAGUCCAACAUGUGCGCGAGUCUAAGGGUUGUCUAAACCUGGAGGCGAAAUGAAAGUGAGCUCCUAUUUUGGGGCAGGCCGAUCCCUUGUCGUGACCUGGACUGUGCAGGGCGACGUGGCAAUGUCAAAGUUGCCUGUCGUGUUUUGUGUAGUUAGGGUUGCGGCGGCCCCUCCUUUGCGGGGGGGGUAUUGGGCGCAGGCCGAGGACUUGCCUUAGUGCGGCUCGGGCAACGGGCGACUCUCUCUCCGGGGGGGGUUUCCUUAUCCCGAUGUCCGCCGGCAAGUACCUGAGAGCGCAGCCGUUGGGACCCGAAAGAUGGUGAACUAUGCCUGGCGAGGACGAAGCCAGAGGAAACUCUGGUGGAGGUCCGAAGCAGUUCUGACGUGCAAAUCGAUUGUCAGAGCUGGGUAUAGGGGCGAAAGACUAAUCGAACCAUCUAGUAGCUGG